UUGCUCCAAUUAGGGGCUCUGCAGCCCGUAGCUCGGGCUGUCUGAAGGGUCUCCUUUGGGACCCACGAAACCCAUCAGCCGCUGCCGCUGAUCUUUAAGGAAAGGUCAAGCCGGACGCAUUAGAGCCAGGACUGGGAGAAGCAGAACCUAAGCAAUGCUGACAGGCCCGGCUCUCCAGAGACCAAGGCAGGAGAAUCUCAAGUUCAAGGCUGGCAUUGGCUACACAGUGAGACCCUGUCUCAAAGGAAAAGAGCUGAGGGACCCAGGCAAAGCCCCCAUGUGGCAUAUAGCAGUAGUGGUUUCCCUGCAUGCUGGGUAAGCACUGAGCACAAGUCUGGGCCAUGCAGGGGUCAGCUCCUGAAUCCCCGCAGAGCCUGUGGCUGUGUCGCUAUGUCCUGGCUUUCAGAUGAGAAGACAGAGAUUCAGAGUAAGGAGAAACCAGCCCCUAGGAACAGCAGGUAACACAGGAGAGCACACACACCCACUCCCCCGACCCUGGCUCCUAUGAAAGCUGGUAAGAAUGGUUGCCCUAAGUUCAGCAUGAGCCAGGGAUGGCCAGAGAUGGCUUCAGAGUACCAGUUUUCUUCUUUCAUAUGUCCCCAACUGUGCAUCUAAGGAAACUAAAGCUCUCACAGACUCUGGCCUGGAUACAAAGCCAGCUGUGUGGUGCCAGAUGCUCAAACGCCAAGACGCCUUGGUAUCUACUUUGUCACAAAGUCAUCCCAGCCCCCAACCUGGCUGUUCACAUGUUCGAAGCUCAAAGCUGGUUUGAGCCAUCCACGCAUGCCUGCCAAGAGUCACAGCAUCUAGACUCAGGGUACCCAGCAGAGUCAUCCCCCUGCCAGUGGCUGGAGGGGUCCAUGUUCCUUCCAUACCUGUCUCUAUUCAAGGCAUGGGCAACAUUGCAGCUCCCAGCAGCCCUGGCUCAGGGCAAGGAAUACAGAGCCCACAGGUUCCGUGGAGACAGGCAGUGGAGGUACAGAACAUCUGGGCACAGCUCACAUUUUUGGCUUCCUGUGGGGCAUCUCCCGGCCUCCCCCUAGCUGUCUCCAGCUCCCAGCACCACACACUAUUGUGUCUGCUUCCGGCUGUGUCUCCCAAGGGGCCGAGCCCCAGCUGGCCUGCCUUGCACUGUCCCAGUUUCACAGGGCUCAAUCAAUGUUGGAACCAGAGACACAGGACUCCAAACCUCAUGGUGCCUUCUGUUCUAGAAUCAUCAGGCCGUCUGGCAGGAUGACACCUUCUGUAAUCCCAGCACCCUGGAGAUGGACGGGAAGUAUAAGGCCAGCCUGGGCUGCAUAAUGAAAACCUGUCUCAAAAAAUAAAACCUUGGCAGGAGGCAGCAUCCUUCCCAGGACCCAGGAGCGCUCCUCCAGCAUCCUUCCCAGGACCUGGGUGCGCUCCUCCAGCAUCCUUCCCAGGACCCAGGAGCGCUCCUCUAGCAUCCUUCCCAGAACCGGGGUGCACUCCUCCAGCAUCCUUCCCAGAACCCGGGGGCGCUCCUCCAGCAUCCUUCCUAGGACCCGGGAGCGCUCCAGCAUCCUUCCCAGGAUCCAGGUGUGCUCCUCCAGCAUCCUUCCCCGGACCCAGGUCCUGAUAACACUACAUCAUUAAGGGAAGUUGGAGCAGGAACUCAAGUGCAGGGGAGGAGCCAUGAAGGAACACGGCUUAUUGCCUCACAUUCAUCUACCGUUCUUAAACAACCCAGGACCACCUGCCUAGGGAUGAUACUGCCCACAUUGGUCUGGACCCCUUUACAUCAAUCACCAAUCAAGAAAAAGCCCCACGGACCUGCCCACAGGCCAGUCUGAUGGAGGCAGUUCCUCUGUUGAAGUUUUCUCCUCCCACAUAACAAUAGUUUGUGUCAAAGGGACAAAAACUAACCAGCAGAGAGGACAGAGGGGUCUGCCACAUCAUACUGUGGACGUCAGAGACAAUUUGUGGGAACUGGUUUUCUUCCUCUAUGUGGGUUUUUGCCUUAAAGUCCAGGCGUCAGGCUUGGUGCCAAGUACCUCUACCACUGACCCGGCCCACAGGGCCUUUUGUUGCCCUUCAUGUGGACUGAUUCCGUUCACUCAUUAAACAUGCAGCUUCCACGGUGUACUAGUAACCCCAUCUCAGCAGCCGCUGCUCUUUGAAACACCUCCAUCUCAGAGCAAGGAAGCGGCAGCUCACAGUCCCCCUCUGGGUCCUCAUACAGCAUAGUAUGCCAUACUUUGCAAAGGCCCUUGUGUGAAAAUCCCAGCUUGUGUUCACAGCAAAGGGUCCUGGCAUGAGGACCCGGAGACAACGGCUCAUGGCCCAUCCCAGCCCUUCUGCUCAGGAACUCGAGGGUGCCACAGUGAACUCCAGAGCUUUUGCAAAAACCUUUUGAUAAAUGAACACAGGGCUGACCUGCACGGGCCCGACAAGAAAGACUCUCCACAUAAAUCUUGUGUGUGUUUGAAACUUCCCUCCCCACUGGCAUCUCCAAGGCUCUGAUUUGUAGGGGGAAACCCUUGAUGUGGUUGGUUCCCAAGCAUCUAAGCCCCAGAAGUUCUGGAAAAGGCAGGACAUGUGGGGAGGAAGAAAGCAAAGAUAGACAAGCGAGAGUAACCUCCAACUGCCCAGCGUGCCUAGCGCACAGUCAGUGAGUGUAUUGGGUGAGCCAGCUUUAGUCUUCCACUAUGACAAAGACAACUAACUAAUGUUGCCAAGUGUUCACUAAGUGCUGGGUGCCUGCUAAGCACCAGGGGCUAUGUUCACUUAAUAUGUGAACACUAGUGUUAGUUUUACUGAUGGGGCACUGAGGUUCCAAACAGUGGCCCCAUGUCCCCAAAGUCACAGAGCUGGGACGUGUCAGGGCUGAAAUUGAACCCAGACCAUCAGGUCCAAGUGCCUUGCUCUAAUCCACCACUCAUAAUGUACAGCGCCUGGUGUGCAGACCCACCUCCCCAAACCCUUCCCCAUAGUGUCCUACCCUGGAAGCUGGGGAUCUUGCUCAUCAUCCCGCCCGUGGCUUCACUAGCAGCUGUAUCUUCAGCCAGGUCCCCAGACCCUGGGACCCAGAGUUUCUCAGUGGCUUCCUCAGGCUCUGGCUUACAGGAAGGCUGUGUCCACAGCCCUGGAGUCUUUCCAUAUGUUCCUCUGAGUCACCAGGACCUGCCUCAGCCCCGACCGUCAUCUUGGUCUUCACUCUGGAGUGGCUGGCCUGUCCUGGUUCACACUGCCUGAUGCUACACUGGAGAGCAGUACCCUGUUUUCUUCUGUGGGGGUCUUACUGUAACCCCAGCUGGCCUCACACUUCAGCAGCCCGCCUGCCUUCUUCCCCUCCCCCAGGGUUGCGAUUACUGGAGUGGGCCGCCAAGCCUGGCUGGGUAUUGUGUUUUUGAAAGCCUCUUCCUGACGCUCCUGGAAGUAUGGGACCCACAGGUGCACCUCGCUAAGUUUUCACAGACCAAACUGGGGUUUGACCAAUGUAUUCUGCCUCCCCAAGCACCCUACCCCCUUGCCAGCAUCCCAUAUCCAGUUCCAACCCAGCUAUAGAGAUGUUGCUCCCAGACUACACGGUCCACCAUGAAGAUGACAGUUCCGUGGUUUUGUGGCUGCGUGUUCACAGAGCCACGUAGCUAGUUCCAUUCGUCAACUUUUGAGCACCCAGCACCCCCAUGAGAAAGCUCCACUUGAAGUGCCACCCCACUGGACUCCCUCCAGCUGCUCUUCCCCCAGCUUGGAGUGCCACUCACCCACUUUUGUCUGUCUCGGGGUGCCACACGGGGGAUAUGGCUAGGUAGCCCUGGCUGGCCCAGAACUCACUAUGUAGAUCAGACUGACUUCAUAUUUACAGAGAUCCACAUGCCUCUCCUCCUGAGUGCUGGGAUUAAAGGAGACAGUCAUCAAUCCUGGCCUUUUUUAUUUUUAUUUUUUAAACAAGGUCUCAGGUAGCCCGGCUAGCCUUUAGUGCAGUAGUAUAGAGGAUGGCCUUGAUCUCCUGCCCCUGCCUUCUGAGUGCUGAGGGGACAGGAGAUCCCUACAAUACUCUGUGUGUUUUCCCUAUCUCAGGGCUGGGCUGUGUCCCCUCUGUGUAAAGGCCUGCAGCCUAUGCACCCCUGAUGUCUUUCUUGUGGUCCCUCAUUAUGCCUGAUUCUUCCUCCUUGGGGUUCUCUGUGUGUACACGUGCAUGUGUGUUGUUGGGGAUGCAACCCAGAGCUCUGUGCGUGCCAGGCGAGUGUUCUGCCACUGAGCCACAGCCAAGUCCCUUCCCUACUGCUGCCCAGAGCACCGUCUUAUCCUUUGUAUUGCUGUGUCCACUGGUGGCUGUGAGGGUUGCUCUUACCUCUGGCCGGGUCUGUGAAGGUGUUCCCAGGAAGGAUGAAUUCAGGGCUAAAACUCUGCAGCAAUACUCCAUAAUCCUCCAGGCCUUUGGCUCCUGAUUGAGGCUCCAGCCUCCUUCAGCUCCUGGUUUCUCAGCCUUUCCAGAAUGCAGGCAGCUGUCACUGGACUCCCAAGUCCUUCUUGUGUAUGCCACUCCAGGGAAUCUCCCUUUAUAAUAAACACCUUGUCAGUUCUGGUCCCCCACCCCAGCGUCCCCAAGAACCUGCUAGUACAGUGACUGGCUGAUCGUGAUCCCUAGGUGGGUGGAGGAGUUCCCAUCUGAGACAAGAGCUGACGGUGUUUUCCUGCAUUACUCUGAUUGUGUCUUUUGUUGACAGCAUGAUACAGUUGUUGGGUGGACACCCAGGAGUGGAACUCUAACCCCAGGGAGACAUGUAGGCUUUCUGUACACUGAACAAGAUGUCUCAAAUCUCACCAGCAGUGACUGUCUUUCCGGUGGCUGACCGGCUCCUGAUCUCAGCCCUUCCUGAUGAUGCCUCCCUUGGCUCCUAGGCUUCUGACAGCCAGGCUGACCCUGCAGGUCUCCCUGCAGCUGGGCAGGCACCCCCAACCCACCUGAGCAGCCUUUGAUGUCCGCAUGGGCCCAGAGACCAGGACUCAGUGUCUGCUUUGUUGGGCUGUGCAAACACGCAUGCUCUGAAACCGUGUUCCUUUCGCAGGCCAACCAUACUCAGACUGAAGAGCUAAUACAUUUCUUUCUUUCUUUCUUUCUUUCUUUCUUUCUUUCUUUCUUUCUUUCCUCUUUCUUUUUUCUGGAUUUAUUUAUUAUGUACACAGUGUUCAGCCUCCAUGCCUGCAGGCUAGAAGAGGGCAAAAGAUCUCAUUACAGAUUUUUGUAAACCACCAUGUAGUUGCUGGGAAUUGAACUCAGGACCUCCGGAAGAGCAGUCAGUGCUCUUAACCUCUGAGCCAUCUCUCCAUCCCCGGAAAUACAUUUUCAAAUUGCAGCCUGCUCAGGCCCUAGCACAGGGGUUCUCGGCAUUUCUAACUCUGUGACCCUUAAAACAGUUUCUCAUGUUGUAGUGACCCCCCCAACCAUAAAAUUAUUUUGUUGCUACUCCCUAUGUGUAAUUUCGCUGCUGUUACAAAUCAUAAUGUAAGUAUCUAAUAUGUGACCCCAAAGAGGUCGUGAGUCACUGGUGAAGAACCAUUGUCCUAGCAUCACUUAGCUCCCUCUGGC